CCUACGGGGUGCAGCAGUGGGGAAUAUUGGACAAUGGGGGGAACCCUGAUCCAGCGACGCCGCGUGAGUGAAGAAGUAUUUCGGUAUGUAAAGCUCUAUCAGCAGGGAAGAAAAUGACGGUACCUGACUAAGAAGCCCCGGCUUACUACGUGCCAGCAGCCGCGGUAAUAUGUAGGGGGCAAGCGUUAUCCGGAUUUAUUGGGUGUAAAGGGGGGGUAGACGGUGCAGCAAGUCUGAUGUGAAAGGUCGGGGCCCAACCCCGGGACUGCAUUGGAAACUGUUGAACUGGAGUACAGGAGAGGUAAGCGGAAUUCCUGGUGUAGCGGUGAAAUGCGUAGAUAUUAGGAGGAACACCAGGGGCGAAGGCAGCUUACUGGACUGUAACUGACGUUGAGGCUCGAAAGCGUGGGGAGCAAACAGGAUUAGAUACCCCUGUAGUC
rnacentral:rRNA from 1 species